rnacentral:sRNA from 1 species
AUGGUUGAGAAUCAGAAGUUUGCCGGCCAAGUGGCAACCUUCAUCGGAGAGGGAAACAACAUUGAUGUCGAAACGGACACGUGCUUCAACAACCGUAACCAAACUGGUGGAUCCAACACUCAUUGUGCAGAGAGAUCCCUGGCCUGCAAUGCUCACCUGGAGUCCUUCAGUACUCAGUAUCUUCCAUAUGGAAUUUACUUAAGUCUGGUCACAGAAGACCGCCGCAAGCUGGAAUCGGUUAUGAAUAAGUCCCUGACAACUGAAAUUUGA